rnacentral:rRNA from 1 species
UACGAAGGGGGCUAGCGUUGCUCGGAAUUACUGGGCGUAAAGGGCGCGUAGGCGGCGUGUUAAGUCACUUGUGAAAUCUCUGAGCUUAACUCAGAACGGUCAAGUGAUACUGAUGUGCUAGAGUGCAGAAGGGGCAACCGGAAUUCUUGGUGUAGCGGUGAAAUGCGUAGAUAUCAAGAGGAACACCUGAGGUGAAGACGGGUUGCUGGGCUGACACUGACGCUGAGGCGCGAAAGCUAGGGUAGCAAACGGG